rnacentral:lncRNA from 1 species
AAAAUUCCACGGACCGUUGCGAAGUACUCGUUUACGAUCUAACUCCGUUGCAAAGAUGAACAAAAAGAGGUUCUCCCCUAAAUCUUUCGCUCUGACUUCCAUAGAGGUGUUCCAAAUCUUCAUCAUAGUCUGUUUAAAAGCUUCACGGUUGAAAGACUUGGUUGUUAACACCUUGCCCACCAAAGCAGUUUUCAACCUUUCAUGGAC